rnacentral:rRNA from 1 species
UUGGAGGGCAAGUCUGGUGCCAGCAGCCGCGGUAAUUCCAGCUCCAAUAGCGUAUAUUAAAGUUGUUGCAGCUAAAAAGCUCGUAGUUGAAUUUCGGGAUCAGAGUGUCGGUCGUGCCUCGGUACGCACUGGUAUUAUUGGUUCCUACCUUCUGAAGAACCGCGAUGUCAUUAAUUUGGUGUCGUGGGGAAUCAGGACUGUUACUUUGAAAAAAUUAGAGUGUUUAAAGCAGGCUUACGCUUGAAUACAUUAGCAUGGAAUAAUGAAAUAGGACGUUUGAUUCUAUUUUGUUGGUUUCUAGGAUUGACGUAAUGAUUAAUAGGGAUAGUUGGGGGCAUUAGUAUUCAAUUGUCAGAGGUGAAAUUCUUGGAUUUAUUGAAGACUAACUACUGCGAAAGCAUUUGCCAAGGAUGUUUUCAUUAAUCAAGAACGAAAGUUAGGGGAUCGAAGACGAUCAGAUACCGUCGUAGUCUUAACCAUAAACUAUGCCGACUAGGGAUCGGAUGAUGUUAAUUUUUUAAUGACUCAUUCGGCGCCUUACGGGAAACCAAAGUGUUUGGGUUC